CUCUCACCCAGCAGCCUCGGACACCAACAGAAGCCACGCUUUCACCGCCCACUUCCUGCCAGUCGGACCAAUCAGAACCUUCGGCACUCUGGAGGCCCGCCCUCUUCUCGCUUACAGUUUAUUAAAGAGACAGGAGUGUGAUUUCUAAAAGCUAUAAGGGUGAUUUAAUUCCUGGGUACUUCGGAUGCGGACGUACCUUAGGUUUCAGUUCCCCAUGGUCGACCUUUCGCUGGAAGCAGAUGAUCCUCCUUGUGACAAAUUGUCAGAAGCUCAAUAAUAGCCUAAUGCUACCUCAUGAUGCCUACGUUGUUCACCUCACCUAUCUCACUGUGCAGGCAUUUUAUCAUCUCACAUUAUCACAAGAAGAAGGGGCUGGCAGGAAAUAAAAUCUAUUCCUUAAUGAGAGUCCUCCUUCCCUGUAGGGAUGAGAACUACAGAGGCUCUUUGCUGUCAUUAGUCAUCUGUCCACCUUGUUGAUUGUUGGAAAUACCCAUGAUCCCAGCAUCUACACUGUGUCAAGGAUAAGGGAAUCUUUGAUGUGGAUGAACACCCCUCAGUUAGGGUUCAGUUUACUGGUGCACCAUGGAAAACUUAGUACAUGUAAGUAAUAUAUAAUUUCUCUGAAACUUUGUACUUUCCAGCUAAUUAUUCUGAUGCAAAACCUCUCUCAGACAGUUAACUUAUCUGAGAGACUAUGCUAUCUCCUAAGAACAGAGGGCAAACUACCAUGUUCAUUCUUCUUUGUUCAUUCAGUUGCCUUCUUCAAAUGAACCUGGAUUUGUGUACUGAACUCUAGCGAACAUUUCAUUUAUUUAUUCAUUGAGCAUGUAUUUAUUUUUUGCUCUGUGCUCAGUCCAUUAUGAGAUUCUGAAAUUACAACGAAUAACUUAUUAUAGUUUCUGGCCAGUAAUGACUCACAGUCAGAGCAAGGAAAGUUGAUUGUGGGGUGGUGGCUAAAUAAUCAAUAAUUAUGGCAAUGGUAAGUGUUACAAUAGAGGCAUAAAAAUAUGCAUAAUGGGAGGACAGAAGAUGGUCUUAAGUCUGUUUGGAUACGCCAUGCCAUGGGUGAUUUGUAGAAGGAAAGGGUAACUGGGCUGAGUCUUAGGAAAUGAAUACAAGUUUACUUGAUAUACAGAUGGAAGAAAAGAAUUAUAUUCCAAACCAAGUAAAUGGAGUCAGGGAGGGAGACAGAGAGAAGGAGGAGGAGCAGAAGGAAGAGGAGAAGGAAAAGAUUGGGAAGACGAGAUUGGGUGAGAGAAAGAGUGGCCUGUGUUAGAAAAUGCAAGCAGUCCAUCAUGACUACUAGAAUGAAGAGUCCAUUGGAGGACUCAUGCGAGAUGAGCAUGGAAAGGAGGACAGAAGAUCAAGCACAGUGGGUAAAGGAUGAAUAUUAUAAUUAGGCUGUCCCAUGCGAAAACUCAAGUUCUGCCCUUUUGGUGUGGUCAACUGAAAAAGGUUACUUGACCUGGUGUCCUUAAUGGUAAAUACUUCCAUUGUAACAUUACUGUAAGGAUUCCAUGGAUUCGUGAAUGUAAAGAAACUAGCACAGUGCAUGCCACAGCAGAAUUCCAGAAAUCUUUUUCUCUCCCCCUCCCCACACACCUUGACAUUUAUCACAAAAGCCAUAAAACUGAAGGUUACUGAUAAAAAGUGCUUGGUGGGUGCAUUUGGGAAGUAGUGGGAAAUUGCUUGAAGAGAGAGGGUGAAGCUGAACUAAAGAGAUCUUUCGAAGUGGAGUGGAAGCACUAUCGAUUUAAAAUCACAAGCUUAAACAUUACUUAAUUGCAAAUGUAGUAUUAAAAUGAAACCAGAAACCAAUGAUAUAAAUUGCUAUGAUCUUGUCACCUAAUCAAUCAAUCGGUACUGUCAUUUAUUCAUGAUACUUCUAUUUGUUAGGACCCAAAUCUAUAUUAUUUUCAAUGUUUACAGAUUUUUAGAAAUAAUAUAUAAAUAAGAUGUUUACAUUUGAAUUUUUACUUGAAAUUAAAUCAUGAAAAUUUUAAGUUCUUCUAUAGGUUCCCCCCCCCCUUUUUUGUUCUUCUUACCUCUUUCUUCCAUCAGGAAUCAUUGUUAAUAGCUUAAUGUGUUUCCCUGUACGUAUUUCUUCGUGCUUAUAAAACUGUAUACCAACAAAAGCACCUAUACUACACUGUUGUUCAUUUUCCUAAAAAUGGAGUAACAUUAUACAUUUAUUUGUAACUUAUUUUUCUUACAUAGAAAUAUAUCAGGGAGAUUUGGGGUGUGGAUAGCUCAGUCAGUUAACUGACUCUUGAUUUCAGUUUAGGUCAUGAUCUUGGGGUUCGUGGGUUCAAGCCUCGCCUGGGGCUCUGUGCUGAUAAGAUGGAGCCUGCUUGAGAUUCUCUCUUUCUCCCUCUCUCUCUCUGCCCCUCCCCCCUCAUACUAUCUCAAAAUAAAUAACUUUUUAAAAAAUUAAAAAAAUAUAUCAUUUACAUCCAUCUAAUAGGAUUCCGUAAAAUUGAACGUUAUACACACACUGAAAACUAAUUAUAGAAUCUUUAGAUCUAUAAGGGACCUUAGAAGUCACCCAGUCCAGUGGUUCCCAAAGAUGGGUCUUUUCAGUUAAAUUAUAUUCCUAGCAGAUAGAGAUUUUGAACACAGGGUAAGUGUUGGACGCCUAAUCAAAGAUUAGUUUGGCAGUGGUGGGAAGAAGGUUUGGAGGGAGGGAUCUGGGGUCAUAUUUCAGGUCUCAUCCUUAAUCUUAUUUUCUCAUGAAAGCAUUCCUUGAUAACCUUAACUUGGAUAAGUGACCCUCUUAUACAUCCUAAUAGAAUCUUCUAUUUGUUCUUUGUUAUGUUCACUGGCAUAAUAUUAAUAAAUUAUUAGUUAUUAAUAAACGAGUUAUUAUCCACCUUUUAUGCUGUUUAUAUCUCCGUUAGCUACUAUAGUGCUUGACAGAUAAAAAAAAAAAAGACCCAAAAAUAAAUGAAUGAGCAUGAGAGUUUUUUGGGGACGGGGAUUGUUGCACAGAUGCUAAAAUUUGAUACAGCAGAGUGGGAGUAGGGGAUCAGAGUCAGUGACAAGUGGAUUGCAUCAAUGGCUCAGAGACUGAUAUUUUCCUUAUGAAUUUGUGGCAAUUAAGGUUAUUUUCCUUAGCAUGUUAGGACCAUAAGACAGAUUUUGUUGGUUCUUUUAGAAAUUAUUACACUCUUUGGAAGACACUCAUUGUAACUAAAUGCAUAUAGAUAUUGUUCAUUUAAAAUGGGAGCUGUCCUUUCACAGUGCUAACAUUUUCAACACAGGUCACUUUGUUGCCAAUGUUGAGGUAAGUUAUACUCAGUUAAUGGUGAUUGUUUAGGGGGCAUAUAAUUAGAAGAAAGGGGAGGUGAUGAUUUGGAGGCAUAUUUCGUCUAGGUUGCCGUGUGAUGAGAAAAAACAUUUUUACCCCACAGCAAAAAAAUGGAAACCUUUUUAGUGACCCUACAAUAGCCUCUCUAAUGUACACAGUGCUACUUUAGACCCCCUUAAACGAGGUUUCAACACUGGCUUCCACUUAACAUUCAUGUCUUCUUUUGUAUCGAGAGUAUCAAUUAAGCUUUAACAAAAUACAGAUCUGAGAGACAUUCUGUCUCCUUUGACUAUUUAUUGAUUUAAUUCAUCUCAUUCUCAAUCUUAUUUCCCUUUGUAUUGGUUAAGAUUCUUCUGGCUGCAAGCAACAGAAAUCAGUAAGUUAAAAAAAGGGUGAUUUAUUGGAGAUACACCAACGUAGCUCACAGAAAAGAAGGAUGAGCCAAACAGUAGUGCCUCAGGAAAGGCAGGAGUGACAUAGAACCUGGGUACGUAAGUGGUGAAUUGUGAAGCUGUUCCAACUGUGUCUACUGCAUUCUUUCGUUUUGUUUUAUUAUUAUUUUUUUAUUGAGAGGGAGAGGGUGCCAGUGAGCCAGGGCAAAGAAAGAGAGACAGAGAGAGAGAAAGUCAGGGUUCACCUGAAGCAGAGCUUGUGGUCACCUGGUGUGGGACUCAUGCUUACCCAAAACGGGGCUCAAGCUCAGCAGAAGUGGGGCUCGUGCUUACCUGAUAUGGGACUCGAACUCAUGAACUGUGAGAUCAUAACCUGAGCCGAGGUCAGAUUCUUAACUGACUGAACCACCCAGGUGCCUGAGAUUUUAUUUUUAAGUAAUGUCAAUACCCAAUGUAGGCCUCAAACCCACAACCCUGAGAUCAAGAGUUGUAUGCUUUACUGACAGCCAGCCAGGUACUCCUGUGUCUACUGCAUUCUCAUUCACUUAGUUUCAAGUUCAUGAGUGUGAGUGAGGCAGAUCUCUGUCAUCCUAUUUUACUUUUGACUGUAAUAGAUAAAGGUCAAGGGACUCUGAAAUAUGGUACAGUUAGUGAUAGGAAUUGAAGGAAAAAGAUUGUUGUGGGGUAAAUUCCUCAGCCAAAUAUGACAGGACAUGGUGGCUUACUGUGGGACAUAGUGGGACAGUAGAGAAAAAGAUGAAUCAAGGAAAGUCUAACUUUUAUAGCCUGGGUCAAUUGGGAAAAUAGUGAUGCCAUGGGAAAAUUUGUAAUAUAGAGUGCUUUUUUGGGAGGAGUGGGAAGGAGGGAAUUAUUAUACAUUUGGUUUUAUGCAUAUUUGAAUUUAUCACUAUGGUGAGAAGUCCAAGUUAAGAUUUUUAAAGGGAGUUAUAGUGAAAUACAACCGGAAAUAUAAAGUCAGUCUUGGCAUAGCCAUAAGAACAGAAUAACUCUCCUUGGAGUUAAUUUUGUACGGCCUCUUCUAGUUUCUUUGAACAUAGAGAACCAUGCCUGAAUCUUCAUGCAAUCUCCUAAGGCUUAGCAUGUGGUAGGUGCAAAAGAAGUCACUGUGGUGUUAAACUGAAUUGAAGUCAAGAGAGAAAAGAGUGAACUGCUAAGGAAUGUUCACUUUCUCCUGGAACUAGUUUAAAAUUUUGUCUUCAGUUUUAAAGUCUCCGCCAGAAUAAACCUAUUUUAGAGGCCACCUCUUUCCAUAACCAGAGAGUCCAUCUGCACGAUUUAUUUCCUCCAGUCAGGUUUAUAGACCAGGGAAAGUUUUUUUUUUGUUUGUUUGUUUGUUUGUUCAUUUGCCCUCUCUUGGUUGUUGGGUUUAUUGCAUUACAGAUGCUUAAACCCUAAACAUUAGCCUCUUGAGCGAAAACAAUGAGAGAUAUUUUAGCCAGAGUUUUCCUUUGAUUCUGGCAAAAGAAAAAAAAAAAAAAAGAAAAAAGAAAAAAAAUAACCUGGAAAGAUAGCAUUCCAGAAUAAUUUUGCUUAUUCUUCACUACUUGAUCAAUACGCCCACCAGCAGCAAGAGACAGAGUCUUCCUUCACGCUGGAAGUAGGAACUAGUUUAGACACCCUGAUAAUAAGUGACGGUAUUGUGGAGAUUGAUGGGGAUGGGCAAAGUCUAGAUUUUAUUUGGUUUCAUCUUAACUGCAUUUAUUCUAUCUCCAUUUUAUUGCCCAUUCGUUGCUCCAUGUCAGUUUCAUUCUAUUCUAUUUCAACUUGAGAUAUACACCCAAUAUAUAAGGAUGGACAUUUUCACUCAAAAGCAUUUUCAGAUCUUGUCACCAGCUAAAUCCUCUCUUAUGGAUUUCAAGUGUCUUAUAAUGAAUUUUAGUGAUUUUAAGCUCUCACCUUUUAAAAAGCUUAGAGACUGCAAACAUUUUACUAAAAGUGUAAUACUACAGUACCUUGGUAAUUUGGUAAAGGUUACUGUUUAUAAUUACCUUCAUGACAGGAAGGUUGCUAUCAAAGACACUGUAGUGACCUGCAUAAGGACAUGAGGUCACAUAUAAAAUUUGAGCAAAAUUAUUACCAAAUUCCUCUACAAAAUGGGUUGUUAUAUACUAAGUGAAAUACAAUUUUUGAUGGGUGGAGUUACUGAGCUCUUUAAGUGACUUAGACUCUUCUGAUCUGGAAUCAUGUUUGUUGAAAAUGACAACAGUUUACGUUUCCAAAUGUUGUUGAUCCUUAAUAAAAUAAUCUGCAUCCAUUUUUGCUCUAUCCUGAACUAUAAAAUAAAAUUAGUCACUCUUCUCCAUUAAAUCCCCUUUCCUAUGGUACAAUAAUAGCAAAACUAUUGAGCAUUGGUGCGUACUAUGCUCACCAUUUUACAGGAGACAGCUACUCUUUAUGCUGCUUACACAAAGGAGGAAACGAAGGCACAUAAAUGUUAAUUUGCUCAAAUAAGUGGUUGCAUUGACAUUUAAAUUCAAAUGGUUUAACUCUAGAACUCGCACUUUAGACGACUUUCGCCUCCUGUUUCAGAGACAGGAGUUGUGUUUGGUAUACACGAGAGACAUAAGGAUAAACAUCACAAUUCCCGAAGUAAAGAUGUUUUCUUCUGGCCUGCUGCGAAGGGCAUUCAGUUCUGGGGCAGCCAAUUUCUAGUAGUUAUAUCCACUGAGUGUUUUCAGUACUGUAAACCCAACUUUACAAUAGUGCUAUGAGGUAGGUAUGAAUGUUUACAUUCCUCAGUUGAAGAUACUGAUGGAGAGGAAGAUUACAUAGCUUAACCUAAGGUAGUAGCUGUGAGUGCUAAUAAUAAAGUCAGCAGUUAGCCAAAUUCCAGAAUCUUCCUGCUGCAUCACAAAUACUGCCUCCCUAAUUAUUUUUUACCCUAACCUCCAUUUAUACUCUAGUUCUGGUGGGUAUGUAGCUGACAACCAUCUACUUCAGAAAGAACUAGAGUGCUCGUUAAAAAUGCAUCUAGCCAGUUUCAAAUGCGCCUAGCCAGCUUCAAUUGUAGCAAUUCAGAUUUAGUGGGUCUGGUAUGUGGCCCAAGAAUCUGCAUUUUAGCCAUCGUUCCUUGCCAUUGUUAGGCACAAUAAGCUUGGAGAAUUACCUCAGGAAAUGUUCCUGACGUAAUGACUUUUUAAUCUUUAUUCUUAUUUGAGUCUUAUAUAUGUCUUUUGAAAAAUAACCGGUAAUAUUGUCCUAAAACCUCUUGCUGUAUCACUGCCUGAAUAAAACUACAAGGCUUGAAAACUCUCCAGGACAUGACUUAACAUUUCUGGUUUCUGAUAUAGGAGAAACGAUGACAGAAAGAGCAACUUGCAUGCAAGUUGAAAGAUCAUGGCCUUGGGGCUGAAGGCCCUGGGGAAUUAAUUUUAGCCAUAACAAGCAAAGACAGGGGAAAAAUAUGAACUCUGCAGAACAGAUAAUUCUAUGUUCAGUCUAUAAUUUUAAACAGAAUUUUUCUGCCAGUUGUUAGCUCCUGUGGUUUCUAUUUAGCAUUGUGUAAUGGUCUCUCAAUUGUCCAGUGAUUUACCAGUUAUUUUAGGAUUUCUAUUUCUUUGGUACUUAUCAUUCCAUGCCUACUGAAAAAGUGAACAAUAAAAGUAAUCAAUUGGGAACAUUUUAAUGAGGCAAUCCAACCCAAAGCUUUGCAUUCAAGUAUUUGUUUAAAUUUGAGGAAGUCAUGCCUCCAGUUCUGUUUUACUUGGGCUAAUGAAUGAGAAAAGACAAAAAAAAAGAUUAGAGAAUGUCAGGUAACUUUGACCUGCAGGAAAAAAAAAAGUCAUUUCUGAGGAGGAGUUCAUAUCAGAAUCUGUUUUGAACAGAUGGUUUGCUUAAAUUGUUUACAACCCACUACCAAGAAGCAUUGAGGAACAAGAUUGUAAAUUUGGCCUUGAUAUGAUACCCAUGCUGUGGGAUGUCCCGAAUGUUAAGAUUUAAGCACGAAGAGAUUGCCAUAACCCUGUUUUUCAGUUCUUUUGUGCUGUACCUGGCUUUCUAGAUUCCAUUGUUCUUGUGAGAUGGAGACCCUGACUAUAAUUUUCCCUAUUUAAUUGCUAGAAAAAUGUACAUCUUAAUGUGUAUUAAAUUAGCAACUCAAGCUUCCUAAGUCAGCGAGGAGAGCAAGGAUUUCUGACCGGUUCAUGUACAUGAUGAUCUCUUUCAAAGGUGCAGGAAUUGGUUAACUCUGACAAUUCUGCAGUUUUCUGGUAAUCUUAAUUAGUUAGCUCGGGGGCACCUGGGUGGCUCAGUUGGUUAAGCGUCCGACUUCUGCUCAGGUUAUGCUAUCGCAGUUUGUGGAUUUGAGCCCCCUAUUGG